UACGUAGGGGGCAAGCGUUGUCCGGAAUCAUUGGGCGUAAAGCGCGCGUAGGCGGCCCGGUAAGUCCGCUGUAAAAGUCCAGGGCUCAACCUGGGAACAGCGCUUGAGACUGGCACGCUCGAGUUCGGGAGAGGAUGGUGGAAUUCCCAGUGUAGAGGUGAAAUUCGUAGAUAUUGGGAAGAACACCGAUGGCGAAGGCAGCCAUCUGGACCGACACUGACGCUGAGGCGCGAAAGCGUGGGGAGCAAACAGG
rnacentral:rRNA from 1 species